rnacentral:rRNA from 1 species
GACGAACGCUGGCGGCGUGCUUAACACAUGCAAGUCGAACGGAAAGGCCCUGCUUUUGUGGGGUGCUCGAGUGGCGAACGGGUGAGUAACACGUGAGUAACCUGCCCUUGACUUUGGGAUAACUUCAGGAAACUGGGGCUAAUACCGGAUAGGAGCUCCUGCUGCAUGGUGGGGGUUGGAAAGUUUCGGCGGUUGGGGAUGGACUCGCGGCUUAUCAGCUUGUUGGUGGGGUAGUGGCUUACCAAGGCUUUGACGGGUAGCCGGCCUGAGAGGGUGACCGGCCACAUUGGGACUGAGAUACGGCCCAGACUCCUACGGGAGGCAGCAGUGGGGAAUAUUGCACAAUGGGCGGAAGCCUGAUGCAGCAACGCCGCGUGCGGGAUGACGGCCUUCGGGUUGUAAACCGCUUUCGCCUGUGACGAAGCGUGAGUGACGGUAAUGGGUAAAGAAGCACCGGCUAACUACGUGCCAGCAGCCGCGGUGAUACGUAGGGUGCGAGCGUUGUCCGGAUUUAUUGGGCGUAAAGGGCUCGUAGGUGGUUGAUCGCGUCGGAAGUGUAAUCUUGGGGCUUAACCCUGAGCGUGCUUUCGAUACGGGUUGACUUGAGGAAGGUAGGGGAGAAUGGAAUUCCUGGUGGAGCGGUGGAAUGCGCAGAUAUCAGGAGGAACACCAGUGGCGAAGGCGGUUCUCUGGGCCUUUCCUGACGCUGAGGAGCGAAAGCGUGGGGAGCGAACAGGCUUAGAUACCCUGGUAGUCCACGCUGUAAACGGUGGGUACUAAGUGUGGGGUCCAUUCCACGGGUUCCGUGCCGUAGCUAACGCUUUAAGUACCCCGCCUGGGGAGUACGGCCGCAAGGCUAAAACUCAAAGGAAUUGACGGGGCCCCGCACAAGCGGCGGAGCAUGCGGAUUAAUUCGAUGCAACGCGUAGAACCUUACCUGGGUUUGACAUGGAUCGGGAGCGCUCAGAGAUGGGUGUGCCUCUUUUGGGGUCGGUUCACAGGUGGUGCAUGGCUGUCGUCAGCUCGUGUCGUGAGAUGUUGGGUUAAGUCCCGCAACGAGCGCAACCCUUGUUCACUGUUGCCAGCACGUUAUGGUGGGGACUCAGUGGAGACCGCCGGGGUCAACUCGGAGGAAGGUGGGGAUGACGUCAAGUCAUCAUGCCCCUUAUGUCCAGGGCUUCACGCAUGCUACAAUGGCUGGUACAGAGAGUGGCGAGCCUGUGAGGGUGAGCGAAUCUCGGAAAGCCGGUCUCAGUUCGGAUUGGGGUCUGCAACUCGACCUCAUGAAGUCGGAGUCGCUAGUAAUCGCAGAUCAGCAACGCUGCGGUGAAUACGUUCCCGGGGCU